UUUUUUUUUGUUAUUGUUGAGACAGAGCAGGUUUUCAACUUGGAUGUGGCCCAUCUAGCCCAGGCUUCUAUUUUACGUUCACCACAUGACCAGCCCAGCUAUUUUUUCUUUGUGAAAAUGAGCCCAGUUUAUUUUUUCUGAAGAAUACCCAAUCCAGGCCUACUUCUUUUUCUAUGCCCUGCUAGGCUGCAACUCUUUCAAGACGGCUGCAAAUCUUAAAAGUAAUAUGAAAUGGGCUGUAAAUAUAUAAAAACACAUGACAAAUUAGCAAUUACUUUCAAAUUUCUAAUUUUUUCGCAUUUUCAGAUUUCAAUUCAGUGGGCUUUAACCUAAUUUAAAUAUAUCUUCAAAGUACUUUAAAUUUGGCUCAACAUUUUGGUAUUAAAAAUAGUUUGGACCCCACCGAAAUAUGUGAAAUUUCGUUUAAAUUUUUAACCCUGGCCCUGGCCAACAAAAAACGGACUACAAUAAAUUGCAUAAGAAGUUGCAAUGAGUUGUAAAUUAUUUUAAAAAUAGGGAAUGGUCCGACUUGUGGACCUAUUAAGUUGACGCAUAUGCAAGAUUUUUUUUACUUAUUAUAUACGUCAACAAACAAUUCUAGCAGACAUGGUCGUUGGAUGUCAAUCCAACGGCCGUCAUGCUUCUUCAAUCUCUGAUCUCCUUACUCCAGCCGCCAAACCCAGCCCCGGCGGGAUCGCCUGCUCCCGCCUCCUGUGGCCGGCUGUGCUGCCCCACAGGCCUCACCACCCCCUACUACUCCCACCGCUGGCUAGGUCGUCCCUCUACUCACCCACAUCCCUCCACUGUUGUGGCUUCGCGGCCUCCGGGCCAUUCCCUUCCUGGGUCUGGCCAUCGUUCAUUGUGUUGGUGUUCUUGGCAUGGCGUGGUCAACGUUGUCAACAAACGACAACAUCGGAAGAGGGAUGUACAUGGAGAGGCUGACAGUUGGGACCCACAUGGUCCAUGGCCGCACGCAAGCAAGUACCUCCUUAUUGCACCAAAAAGAAUGAAUCCUCCCCAUGACAGUUGGGACCCACCAGCUAUAUCUUAGCAUAGAAGGAAGUGCCUCCUUAUUAAGCGAAAAAUAACGAGUGCUCCCCAUGACAGCUGGGGCCCACCAGAUUUGGAGGGUGGCUUGUGGGCCUACUAAGUUGACGCGUACGCAAGGCUUUGUCAACUUAGUCAACAAACGAUUCUAACACCAGUGACCGUUGAAUUGUUAACAUCGAACUGUCGUCCUACUUCAACCUCUGACUUUCUUGCUCCAGCCGUCCAAACCACCGCGUGCUCCUGCCUCCCGUGGCCGGUUGUGCUGCCGCGCAGGCCUCACCGCCCCCUACUACUCCCACCGCUGGCCAGGCCAUCCCUCUACUAACGCACACCCCAUGUUAUACUGCGGCGAUGGCAGCCUCACACCGCAGCCAAACCAAUCAACCCUCAUACCGCCCUCCGUGUGUUCCCCGGCUCCGGGUCGUUCCCUUCCUAGUCACGCCGUCGUCCACCACCUUAAUGCUCUCGGACGGUAUGGCGUCGUCAACGCGGUCAACGAAUGACAGCCAUCAGAAGAGGACCGUACGUGGAGAGGCUGACAGCUGGCUCCAUGGCCGCACGCAAGGAAGUGCCUCCUUAUUACGCGUAAACUAAUGAUUCCUCCACCUGACAGCUCAGACCCACCAGAAGGGCCUCUGUAUUUCGCGAAAAAAAAUGUUCCCCCUGGCAGCUGGGACCCACCGGCUUUAUCUUCACAUGGAAGGAGGUGCCUUCUUACCCCCUGACAGCUAGGACCCACCAGGUUAAAGUGAAGGUAGCGUUAUCUGUCUGGCCGCGAACGUGUACGUACAUAGCGGUCGAUCUGUCUCUCUGCAGCGACAUACCGUGGCCGAGUAAGGAGCAACACAUGUUGAAGUACAGGCGCCGACGUAGCAUGUCACGCAGUCCCGUCUAUAUCAUGUACACGUACGUACAGCCACACUGCAAGAUAGUAAAUAUGGCUACGUACGUACAUACAGGCGGGGUCUCUAACGCGUACGGCGAUGUCGUCCUGUUCAUCAGCAGCCAACCGGCUGGGUCAGAACGGAGUAAAUAGCGUCGCGUGCUCAUUAGGAGCCAACCGGCUUGGACAGAACAGCCAAAACGAGCUCUGGCAUACCGCAGAACGGAGGAAACGACUUCUCUUCGACCGCGUACGGUCGAAACGGGGUCCUGCUCAUCGGGAAGGGUCUGGCAUACCGCAAAACAGAGGAAACAGACUUCUGUUCGAGUGCCUACGGUCGAAAUGGGGUCAUGUUGAUCGGGAGGGGUGUGGCGUACCGCAAAACGGAGGAAACGGACUUGUGUUGGAGCGCCUACGGUCGAAACGGGGUCCUGUUCAUCGGAAGGGGUGUGGCGUACUGCAAAACGGGACUCCACAGGCUACUGUUCAACCACCAUCUACUGCCUUGCUCCAGCCUCCACGGGUUAUUGUUCAUCCACCGUCGACUUCCUCGAGCCUCCACCUGCUACUUUUCAUCCACCGUCGACUUCCUCCUACCUUCACCAGCUACUGUUCAUCCACGGGGUCCUGUUCAUCUAGCCUCCACCGGCUACUGUUCAACCAGCCCUCCACGGGGUCUUGUUCAUCCACCACCAACUGGCUUGGGUGUGUGUGGCGGCCUCCUCGAUCGGGGUCCUGUUCAUCCAGCGGCAACGGCCUCUACUACCACGGGGUCCUGUUAAUCCAACCCCCACCGGGAGGAAAUGCUCAUCCAAGCCCCAACAAUGGUCAUUGUUCAUCAAGAGGCAGGAGGUUCGAUCGGCUUCAAUUAGCAGCAGUAGCGAAGGAAUCGCUCGGGUUCAGUUAACAGCCAAGGGAUCGAUCGCUCGGGUUUAGUAACGUAGACAGUGCAAUCGCUUGGGUUCAGUAAGCGAACGCCUCACUCGGGUUCAGUUAGGCCCAAUGCCUCGCACACAUGCGCAUACGUGUAUGAGAGAAACGUGCAAACCUCCGUGCAUCGCUCGGCCCCGACCACCCACCGUAACCGGGAACUCCCCGAUAUUUUCCUCUCCCUCGCUUCUACCACGACUUUUUCCAUCAUGGACGGCCCAAAGAAUGUCAUGCCGGUGCGUCCCCGACUCGCCCAGGAUGAAAAGCCCAUUUUCUGUCAUGGUUUUUUGUCAUAGAAGUAGGAUCCCACCACAUCUAGCUAUGAUGAUAUGUGGUUCUGUCACAAUUAUCGUCAUAGAAGUGUCAUAAGCAUGACAGAAAAAAAAUUCGUUCGACCCAAAAUGUCACGGAUGUGUCUUUUUUUGUAGUAAUUACUAGGUAUAUUGUGAUGCUUCUCGUCAAGGACUCGGAGGAGUGAUCAUGUAGGAAGGAAAAGUUGUAGCUUAUACCUCCAGACAGCUACGGCCCCACGAGAUGAAUUCUGCCACACACGAUUUGGAGUUAGCAGCCGUAGUGCACGCACUCAAGACCUGGAGACAUUUCCUUAUCGAAAACAGUUGUGAUGUUUACACGGACCAUAAGAGCUUGAAGUACAUUUUCACGCAGAAGGGGUUGAACCUCGGGCAGAGGAGAUGGCAAGAGUUGAUCAAGGAUUAUGAUAUGAGAUUGCAUUAUCACCCAGGGAAGGCAAAUGUUGUAGCAGAUGCCUUGAGCCGUAACAGCUAUGCGAACACCCUCAUAGCUGGAGGAUUACCUCAGGAGUUAGCCGACGAUCUCAGAGAUCUCCGAAUGGAGAUAGUCUUACUGAUACACACACUGCCGCUACACCCAUGGAGCUCCAUCUCCAAUUGCGCCCUAGUGAUGGUACUCCUCUUGAGGGAUACCACUCGCUAUCGUCAUCUUGUAGGCAGCCUUGCCCAUUGUCUUGUUUUGGCUUGGAAGUCUCCUCAAAAUAAGGCAAGUGAGUCAACGAUCUCUGUAAGAGGUUGCCACCCUAGAUAUUUAGUCUACUUUGACCAAAAGAAUUCGCGAAGCCCAGAAGACGGACAAGGAAAUUGCAGAGAUAAAGGAAAGGAUGAGUAGCGGAAAGCCCAAAGGUUUUUGUGAGGAUGAACACAGAACUUUAUGGCUUGAGGAUCGCAUCUAUGUGCCUAAUGAUCCAGAGAAUCUGGGAGUUAAUUUUGCAAGAAGCCCAUGAUUCAUCAUACUCGAUACACCCAGGCACCACUAAGAUGUAUCUCGACUUGAAGGAAAGUUUCUGGUGGACAGGUACUGUCACGCCCAAGAUGCGACACUAUCCUAAAGGAACUCGAAGGUCCCACCAAGGAUAGAAGCGCAUCUUGAAGACGCUUUUGCAAGGUGGAUAUCAUUACAUCAACAUUACAUAAUAGAAGGGGAUACAUACAAGGCAUACAAAUGCCGCAAGAAUACAUCAAUACAUCAUACAUAAGAUCAACAUCCGACUACGGAUGAAACACAAGCAUAAGCUCAAACGACAUCCACCCUGCUAGCCCAGGCUGCCGACCUGGAACCUAUCCCCUGAUCAAAGAAGAAGAAGCAGAAGAAGAACUCCAAAACAAAUAGCAUCGCUCUCGCGUCAUGAUCAUCGCAUAACCUGUACCUGCAACUGGUGUUGUAGUAAUCUGUGAGCCACGAGGACUCAGCAAUCCCAUUACCAUGGGUAUCAAGACUAGCAAAGCUUAAAGGGGUGUGGAAAGGAUAAGUGGUGAGGUUGCAACAGCGACUAAGCAUGUAUGGUGGCUAACAUACGCAAAUAAGAGCGAGAAGAGAAGCAACGGAACGGUCGUGAACUAGUAAUGAUCAAGAAGUGAUCCUGAACUCCUACUUACGUCAAACAUAACCCAGAAACCGUGUUCACUUCCUGGACUCCGCCGAGAAGAGACCAUCAUAGCUACACACGCGGUUGAUGCGUUUUAAUUAAGUCAAGUGUCAAGUUCUCUACAACCGGAUAUUAACAAAUUCCCAUCUGCCACAUAACCGCGGGCAUGGCUUUCGAAAGAUAAUACCCUGCAGGGGUGUCCCAACUUAGCCCAUUAUAAGCUCUCACGGUCAACGAAGGAUAUUCCUUCUCCCGGGAAGACCCGAUCAGUCUCGAAAUCCCGGUUACAAGACAUUUUGACAAUGGUAAAACAAGACCAGCAAAGCCGCCCGAAUGUGCCGACAAAUCCUGAUAGGAGCUGCACAUAUCUCGUUCUCAGGGCACACCGGAUUAUCCAAGCUUCCGGUAGGCCAGCCCAGAGUUGCCCCUGGUGGCCACCGGCGACUGACAGGUUGGACCAACACUCAAAGGAGCACUGGCCCGGGGGGUAAAUAAAGAUGACCCUCGAGAGCGCGACUCCCAAGGGAAAAAAAGGCUAGGUGAGGCACAUGUAAAACCAAGGUUGGGCCUUGCUGGAAGAGUUUUAUUCAAAGCAAACUGUCAAGGGGGUCCCAUAAAUCACCCAACCGCGUAAGGGACACAAAAUCAAGGAACAUAACACCGGUAUGACGGAAACUAGGGCGGCAAGAGUGGAACAAAACACCAGGCAUAAGGCCGAGCCUUCCACCCUUUACCAAGUAUAUAGAUGCAUUCAUUAAAUAAGAGAUAUUGUGAUAUCCCAACAUAAACAUAAUCCAACAUGGAGCAAUCUUCAUCUGCACCUGCAACUAGCAACGCUAUAAGAGGGGCUGAGCAAAGCAGUAACAUAGCCAAACAACGGUUUGCUAGGAACGGUGACAAAGGUUAGAGGUGGUUUCAUGGCAAUUUGGGCGACUGAAAGAGCAAGUGAAUAGGUAGCGCAGCAAAGUGAUAGAACGAAGCAACUAGCAUAGCAAUGAUAGUAAUGAGAUCCAAAGUGACAGUCAUCUUGCCUGAAAUCACGCUAGGAAGAAGAACGAGUCCAUGAAGAAGAUGAAGCCACGAAGACGAACGGAUUCUCACGAUCGCAACGACACGGGAACUAACAAGAAGAAGCACACACCAUGGUAAACACACCACACAUGAACAAGGCAUGAUGCUCAACCAAAUAUGAUGCAUGACAAGGCUACUUGAAGCUACUCAUGCCAAGAGAUGAUGCAUACAAGAGCAACACAUCAAAGCAAGUUUAAAUGAGGCCGAAAACAACAUAGAACAAAUCCGGUAAGUCCUCAUAUGCAAAUUUCGAAAUUGGUCCAGAUCUGAAUAAACAUUAUGUUCAAGUUGUUAAACAGCAAACUAAGAUGCACCAAAAUGAUCUACACGAAAUUCUAGUCAAGUUCCAUAUAAAGUUCAUUAGAUUCGGAGCUACGGCCUAAAAGAUACGAGCAAAACAAGUUAAACAUGGCAUUGAUGCAAAAUGCAUACAAACAUCAAGCAAACACCUCAAAACAAGGAUGAAACAAUAUAAUAUGGAACUACAUGCAAAACUAAGCAAGUUUCAUAUAAAGCAUGCUCAAAACGGAGCAACGGUGCAACACAUACACUCCAAACAAGAUAUAACAACCAUCUGUCCAAAACAGCAACUAGUCAUAUUGCAAGCAUCAUAAAAAUAUGCUACAGCACCUCAACAUGAAACCAAAAGGCAUGAACAUGAUGUACAGGUAAAGCACAACAAAACAUGAACACUGAGGUAUCUCCAGAAAUCACUAGAACAUGCGCAAAAGGACAUGGCAAGAUUGCAAAUAAUAACAGAUUCACAGACUUAGCAGAAAUCACUGGACAUGGCAGAAAUAACAUCAGUUUGCAAAGUUUAGAGCUAUAAAACAACAUGCUCCAGGAACAUAUCAUAGCAAACAAAGGCAUGGCAUGAAUCUACUAAAUUUAUAGAACAAAAGUCCCUUACUGACAAUAAGCCAAAAAGGAUCAGAAGAUAUGAUGACACCUAUGUAAACAUAGCAAGUUUCGUUAACAGGUUUCAGACUUGGCAGAAAACAGAGCAUGGCAGAAACAGUAUCAUGAAGGCAUCUUGGUGAGCUUGAUUCACUCACCACAAAGCAAUGCAUGACAAAACAAGCAUACCUACAGCAAGAUGGCAUGUUUAUGAAGCUAACCAUGGCAAGAUAAAAUACAUUACAUGAAAGGAUCAACUACAACAAGCUUGGCACAAUUGAAUAACACGUAAACAAUCUGCCAGAAACAUUUUAUAGCAAAAGUAGAGCAAGAUUAAGACAUGCUAUGGCACUCCAUAAUUGCAAACAGGGGCAUGGAUGGAUAGAGCACAACUAUAUCUACAAAAUAUCCUUCUGAACAUCACCAAAAGGAGUAUGGAUCUCUCUGUAGACACAUGGAUACAUGGCAAUAAAAUAAUAGCAGCAACAGACAGUGAAAUUGCUAAGUCCCUGAAAUCAGAAACAUCCCGAAGCCUAGUUUGCAUGCUUGUGCUGGUCACCACAGAGAUCACAAAAAUAUAUAGCAUACACCUCUGUAAAGAUGGCAUGGGAUACAUCAAAACACAUGUAGAGCUCAUGCCCAUAAGAUGCACACGUCAAAUGCAACAAAAAUAACAAAUCCUCAAGUUCUGAUAAGUAACAGCAGUUAACAGUAUAUAGCACUCUUGCAUCAGAGAUUUGGGCAUCAAGAUGAACUCAAAUAAACAUGGCAUAAUGGAACAAAAUGGAGCGCAUCUCGAGGCGAACAUUUCGAUAUAUUACACGCACGAAACGGAGCAGUAUGCAGAGAGUUAUGAUGCGAUGAACAGGAUCAUAUAAUGUAGAAUCUUCGGGACGAGAGAAAUCAGAGGGGGAGAAGAAAGUCAACCGUCCAGAUCGGAUCGGGCUCGAGGACGCGGGGUCGGCCGGCUGCUCGCCGGAGUUGGGGAAGAGGAGGCGGCCGGAGGCGGAGGAGCUCGCCGAGACUCGGGGAGGGUCCGGAGGAGCCGAGGCGCGGUGGGAUCCGGCGAGACGCGGCGGGCGGCGGCGGCCACGCGCGCGGCNNNNNNNNNNNNNNNNNNNNNNNNNNNNNNNNNNNNNNNNNNNNNNNNNNNNNNNNNNNNNNNNNNNNNNNNNNNNNNNNNNNNNNNNNNNNNNNNNNNNNNNNNNNNNNNNNNNNNNNNNNNNNNNNNNNNNNNNNNNNNNNNNNNNNNNNNNNNNNNNNNNNNNNNNNNNNNNNNNNNNNNNNNNNNNNNNNNNNNNNNNNNNNNNNNNNNNNNNNNNNNNNNNNNNNNNNNNNNNNNNNNNNNNNNNNNNNNNNNNNNNNNNNNNNNNNNNNNNNNNNNNNNNNNNNNNNNNNNNNNNNNNNNNNNNNNNNNNNNNNNNNNNNNNNNNNNNNNNNNNNNNNNNNNNNNNNNNNNNNNNNNNNNNNNNNNNNNNNNNNNNNNNNNNNNNNNNNNNNNNNNNNNNNNNNNNNNNNNNNNNNNNNNNNNNNNNNNNNNNNNNNNNNNNNNNNNNNNNNNNNNNNNNNNNNNNNNNNNNNNNNNNNNNNNNNNNNNNNNNNNNNNNNNNNNNNNNNNNNNNNNNNNNNNNNNNNNNNNNNNNNNNNNNNNNNNNNNNNNNNNNNNNNNNNNNNNGCGGAGGGAGUAGGGCUAGGGUUUGGACCCGAAAAUGGAGGGGGAGGGGACGUUUUUAUAGCUAGAAGGAGUUAGGAGAGUCCAAAUGGGGAGCAGUUUUCGCCCACACGAUCGUGAUCGAACGACCGAAAGCAUGGAGAGGAUUUAGAUGGGCUAGUGGGCUGUGGUGGAGAGGUGCUGGGCUGCAAAGAGAGAGGGGUUUCGGGCUACGCGGUUAACCGUUGGGGCAUCAAACGACCUCCAAAUGGAACGAAAUUUGACGGGCGGUCUGUCGGUGCUAUACCAAGGCCACUCGGCAAAUACCGACCCAUUCCGAGAAGGUUUUCCUCCCGCUCAUGAAAAGAAAACAGAGGGGUGCAACGGGUGCGGCGAGAGUGUCGGAUCGUGAAACGGACAACGGGGAAAAGGACCGGAUGCAAGUUUUGAAAAACAAGAUGAUGCAAUGCAGAUGAUGACAUGGCAAAAUGCAACACGCAAGCAGAUGACAUGGCAACAGCGACGAAUAACUGGAGGACACCUGGCGCAUCGGAUCCGGGGCGUUACAAGUAUGAAGAAGGAUAUUGCCGAGUACAUAGCAGUAUGCGAUGUUUGUCAGCAAGUAAAGGUAGAACAUCAGAAGCUGGAAGGGUUAGUCCAACCUUUGCCGAUACCCAAGCGGAAAUGGGAAAAACUUGGGAUGGAUUUUAUCACAGGAUUACCCAGGACUCGUUCAGGUUACGAUUCCAUCUAGGUAGUGGUUGAUCGUUUGACCAAGGUAGCACAUUUCAUUCCCGUGAAGACCACAUAUACCAGUGCUAAGUUAGCCAAGAUAUACAUGACCAGGAUCAUAUGUCUGCAUGGAGUUCCGAGGAGUAUCUUCUUAGAUAGAAGAACGCAAUUUACCUCAAAUUUUUGGAAUCAGUUGCAUGAAACUUUGGGCACGAGGCUGGAGUUCAGUACAACUUUUCAUCCGCAGACAUAUGGACAGACCGAGAGAGUCAACCAGAUUCUGGAGGACAUGUUGGGAGCCUGUGCGCUAGACAAUGGAGCUAGCUGGGAUGAUAAUUUGCCCUAUGCAGACUUCUCGUACAACAACAGCUAUAAGACCAGUAUGAAGAUGGCCCCUUUCGAAGCUCUAUGCAGAAGGAUGUGUAGAACACCAUUGUUGUGGGAUGGUGUUGGAGACCGAAAACUUCUUCGUCCCGAUCUUAUCAGAGAUUCUGAAGAGAAGGUCAAGUUGAUUCAUGACAGACUCAAGAUAGCUCAAUCGAGGCGGAAGAGUUAUGCUAACACUAAACGCAAGGAGAUAACAUGCGAAGUGGGAGACCGAGCAUAUCUCCGUGUGUCUCCACUUUGAGGAAUCAAGAGGUACGGUGUUAAAGGAAAGUUAGCACCCAGGUUCAUAGGCCCAUACAAAAUCCUCGAAUGCAAAGGAGAAGUUGCGUAUAAGUUGGAAUUGCUAGAAGGACUUUCGGAGUUCACGAUGUCUUCCACGUUUCCCAGCUGAAGAAAUCCAUGUCGAGAUGGCUGAUAUUCCUUUGAGAGAUACAGUGCCCCUGGAGGCCAUACAACUUGACAGUGAUCUGACUUAUGAGGAGAAACCCGUCAGAACUCUCGAGACUGUGAACAGAGUUACCAGCAUCAAGAUCAUCAAGUUUUGCAAGGUUCUGUGGAGCCACCAUUCCGAGGAGGAAGCCACCUAGGAACGAGAAGAAGACCUCCGUCGAGACCAUCCGCACCUAUUUGCUAGCCAACCCGAAUCUCGACGGCAAGAUUCAUAUUAAGGUGGGUAGGUUUGUAACAUCCCAAAUUUCCAAUUUGGAAUGUUUUACAAUUAUUAGCUAAGCAUCUAUGCAUUUUGUUUGAAUUAAGUGGCAUUUGGAAAAUUCAGAGGCACUUGAGUUUUAUUUGAAUUUGGAUUCAAAUUGGCAUUUGAAAUUCAUUUCAAAAAUCCCUGACAAGUACUUGCUCAGAGGUAUGAGAGGAGCUAACAUGCAACUCCAAAAGGUCAGAAGAAAAUAAUGGCAAAAGUUUUGAGUUCAAAUUUGGUUUCAUUUGGAAUUUUCAAAAAAAUGUUUUAUUAAAGUUUUUAUUAUGCAUAAUAGUUCAUCUUUUAGGUUUUAUUUUUCUGGUCAUUUUGAUAUAUAUAUAUAUAUGUCCUAUAUAAAACUAUUUUUAUUUUCCCUAUUUCUUUUACUUUUCUCUCUCUCAAAUUCAAAAAAAUAAGAGAAAAACUCAGGCGCACCAGGCACCAGGCCCAACCACCCGAGCCACGGCCCACCUCACCCCGCAGCCUGCCCUGCCCCGCGCCGCACCCGAACUCCCUCCGGGUCGGACGCCCGACCCGUCGCCCGCUCCCCGCACCUGCUGACAGAGGGCCCCACCCUCAUCUCCUUCCUCCUGAAAGCCCCGCGCGCGUAUCUCCCUCGCACUCGACGUCGGUCGUGUCCGCACCUCUCUAAAACCCUAGCUAAAGCCUUCCCCUCGCGCAAGUACUAUGUCCUAUAUAUACCUCACGAUCUCCUCUAUCGAACCCCCCUAAAACCCCACGCCAACUCCUUCCGUAGCCAAUGCAUGCACCGUUCCAAUCUCGCCACCACCGCCGCAGUUCAUCGCUGUUGCCAUCGUCGGUGAGCAUCCCCCUGCCUCCAAAUCUCGUUAGCCGAAGCCCCUCAACCUCGCACACUCCGCUGACAUCUUUUGGGCGCCCGGGAUCCACUGACACCACCACCCCGACAACCACUGAGCCCUCUCCGGGGUUGCAGCUCACCAGAGCACCGCCGUCGAUGCCCCGACUGUUCCCGUCGUCCCCGACCGCAGCAGUCGCCACCAUCGACUCCGCCUCGUCGAGCCGCACCGCCCCAACGUCUUCGCCACCUCCCUCGACCACCGGAGCGACGCCGCCGCCGUCUACUUCUAUAAGCCAGCCCCCCCCCCCUCAUCAGUUAGAUCAACAUCGGAUGUACCAGAUUAGAUCUCGAAUAGUUAGAUUUUACUUUUAUAGAUCGGUUUUAGUUUACGGUUUUUGGUUUUUAUUUCGGUUUAGAUCAAACCGGACGGUUUUCUAUUAUUAAGCGCGCUAGCGUUUUAGUUAUAUUGCGGCUGAGCGUUUGAUAGUUACAAAUCACACCCCCUAGGCCCAAUAGCGCCCAUUUGUUUUCUUUAGUUCUUUUUGUUUCUGUUUUAAAAAGGAAAAAGUUCCAAUCUUGUAAAAUCUAUAUCUCCUAGGAUUUGUAAUAUUUUAAUUUGAUUCCUUUUGCUCUAGAUUGGAAAUUUCUUAAGGUUUCUGUACAUAUCAAUUCUCACAUUGUUUGAAUUUUUUAAUAUGAAUCUAUAUGAUUUUUGUUCAAACCACUAAAUUUGCAAUAUCUUGAGCUAGGAUUAAUAUUUUUUUGUGUUUCUUUUUGCUAGUGAUUUGUUAUGACUUUGCAUAUCAGUAAGUUUAGUUUGGUGAAUUUUAAAAUUAACUAAAACUAGUUUAUCAUGAAAAUAGUACUGUUUUGGUAUUUUUAUACCUUUUGUGUCAUUUCUUUUGUUUUAAAUUGCUUUGAAAUUAUUUUCUUUUUGUUCUUUUGAAAUGUUCAGAUUAGUUUCUGCAGAGUAACAGUAGCAAUUUUUAUAGUUCAAAAUAUAUAUUUUUAGUAGCUUGUUUUCGUUCGUUUUGCUAGGAAAACUGUUUUAGGCAUAUUAGGAGUUUCAUAAAAGGUUUUAAAAUGAUUCUUUUUUGCACAAUGUUUUAAUUAUGUUUUUCUUUCUGUUAUUUAUUAAAAACCUUAUUUUUGUUCUGUUAAAGAAAAUUUCAGUAGUAGAAAACUAUUUUAUAGCUUGUUUUACUUGUAGUAAAAAAUUUACUUUGAGUUUAUUGUUUUCCUUGGUUUUGUUUUCGAUUUUCCUUUGUGUGUUUUGAUGAUUGUGUGAUAAUUAGUUUUACUUGAUGUUAUAUGUUAUUAUAUUUGUAUAAUGGUAUGCUUAUUUGUGACUUGUUUCUUUCGAUAGAGUAUCUGGAGUGUGAGGCUUGUUACUACGAGUCUUUAGUGUUUCAAGAUCGUCACCAAGGCAAGUUCACUUUGGUCAUGUAUUUCCAUUUCCCAUGUUUUAUUGCAUAAGUAGUUUUCUUUCCACCUUGAUAGUAGGAUAUUGAGCUUGAACAUGAGGUGGUAUCAUGAGGUAGGAGAAACCCAACACCCUUUUACCAUUGCCCGGGAAGGGACGCAUUUUCUACGUUCUAGUAGAAGGGUUUUGGUUGUGAGAUUCAGAAGUGUUUUGAGGUUAAGUAAUUCAAGACCUGCAUGACGAUUCAAGACUUCAAGACUUCAAGGACUCAAUAUACCUCUGGGUGGAAUGGAAAGCAUCAGGCAGCCUGAUAUCUAUCAUAGUUAUGCCCGGGAAUCCUGGUAUCUACCUGUGAUCAUCCCGACGGAAUGCCACCCAGGCUCAAACAGAUGGAUGGAUACUUCAAGGCCGGAAAGCUUACGUGUGCAACCGCAAGACAUUAUGGGCUCUGGCUUGGUUGACCUUAGUAGUGAAUCUGGUUGGUCAGAUUGCUAGCAGAUGUAGACGAAUGGUAGGAUUGGAUGGGCACUGACUUUUGGCUGGAGGACCGCUUUGGAAGACCAUGUUUUGAUCGUCCCAUUCUCAAACACUAGGCAGUGCGAGGACAUAACGGGAGGGAUCGAAUCUUGCGGGUAAAGUGUACAAGACUCUUAAGAGUAAGAAUCUAAUCGAUUAGUUGUGUCCCCGGUUACGCACAACAUGAGCACCGGAGAUGAUACUAUCGGCCAAUCUCAACACAAUUAAUUAUAAUGAGUGGGUUUAUUAGUAAUUUUGGGAUAUGAGAAUUGAUUGGCGGAACCAUCUCAUUAACAACAAAUAUUUUGUAGUAAUUUACAAGCAAGUCAUUUUGUUGUAGGGAGAAAUUUGCUUUUCGCAAAAACUUAAACUUAGAGCCCCACAGCCGAAAUUGCAUAUAGUGAUAGCAUUUUAUUAUUGUUUUCUCUCUGUGGCUUGCCGGCAUAUUCCAAAUGCUGACCUAGACGGCUACAACGUCUUGUGUGAAGGAAAUAUGCCCUAGAGGCAAUAAUAAAGUUGUUAUUUAUAUUUCCUUAUAUCAUGAUAAAUGUUUAUUAUUCAUGCUAGAAUUGUAUUAACCGGAAACUUAGUACAUCUGUGAAUACAUAGACAAACAGAGUGUCCCUAGUAUGCCUCCACUUGACUAGCUCGUUAAUCAAAGAUGGUUAAGUUUCCUGACCAUAGACAUGUGUUGUCAUUUGAUCAACGGGAUCACAUCAUUAGAGAAUGAUGUGAUGGACAAGACCCAUCCAUUAGCUUAGCAUAAUGAUCGUUUAGUUUUAUUGCUAUUGCUUUCUUCAUGACUUAUACAUAUUCCUCUGACUAUGAGAUUAUGCAACUCCCGACUACCGAAGGAACACCUUGUCUGCUAUCAAAUGUCACAACGUAACUGGGUGAUUAUAAAGAUCCUCUACAGGUGUCUCCGAAGGUGUUUGUUGGGUUGGCAUAGAAUCAACAUUAGGAUUUGUCACUCCAUGUAUCGGAGAGGUAUCUCUGGGCCCUCUCGGUAAUGCACAUCACUAUAAGCCUUGCAAGCAAUGUGACUAAUGAGUUAGUUAUGGGAUGAUGCAUUACGGAACGAGUAAAGAGACUUGCCAGUAACGAGAUUGAAAUAGGUAUGAUGAUACCGACAAUCGAAUCUCGGGCAAGUAACGUACCGAUGACAAAGGGAAUGACAUAUGUUGUUAUGCGGUUUGACCGAUAAAGAUCUUCGUAGAAUAUGUAGGAGCCAAUAUGAGCAUCCAGGUUCUGCUAUUGGUUAUUGAUCGGAGAUGUGUCUUGGUCAUGUCUACAUAGUUCUCGAACCCGUAGGGUCCGCACGCUUAACGUUCGAUGAUGAUUUGUAUUAUGAGUUAUGUGUUUUUGUGACCGAAGUUUGUUCGUAGUCCCGGAUGAGAUCACGGACAUGACGAGGAGUCUUGAAAUGGUCGAGAGGUAAAGAUUCAUAUAUUGGAAGGUAGUAUUCGUACAUCGGAAUGGUUCCAAGUGAUUCGGGUAUUUGUCCGGAGUACCGAGGGGUUACUGGAACCCCCCAGGGAAGUGUUGGGACAACAUGGGACUAAGGGAAUCGAGUUUGACUACGGCCAGUCCUUAUUGAAGGUCAAAACAGCACACUUGACGAAAAAUCAUUGUGGUUUUGAUGCGUAGGUAAGAACGGUUCUUGCUAGAAGCCCGUAGCAGCCACGUAAAACUUGCAACAACAAAGUAGAGGACGUCUAACUUGUUUUUGCAGGGCAUGUUGUGAUGUGAUAUGGUGAAGACGUGAUGAGAUAAAAAUUGUUGUAUGAGAUGAUCAUGUUUUGUAUAAGUUAUCGGCAACUGGCAGGAGCCUUAUGGUUGUCACUUUAUUGUAUGAAAUGCAAUCGCCAUGUAAUUGCUUUACUUUAUCACUAAGCGGUAGUGAUAGUCAUAGAAGCAAUAGUUGGCGAGAAGAUAAUGAUGCUACGAUGGAGAUCAAGGUGUCAAGCCGUUGACGAUGGAGAUCAUGACGGUGCUUUGGAGAUGGAGAUCAAAAGUACAAGAUGAUGAUGGCCAUAUCAUGUCACAUAUUUUGAUUGCAUGUGAUGUUUAUCCUUUAUGCAUCUUAUUUUGCUUAGUACGGCGGUAGCAUUAUAAGAUGAUCCCUCACUAAAUUUCAAGGUAUAAGUGUUCUCCCUGAGUAUGCACCGUUGCUACAGUUCGUCGUGCCGAGACACCACGUGAUGAUCAGGUGUGAUAAGCUCUAUGUUCACAUACAACGGGUGCAAGCCAGUUUUGCACGUGCAGAAUACUCGGGUUAAACUUGACGAGCCUAGCAUAUACAGAUAUGGCCUCGGAACACUGAGACCGAAAGGUCGAACGUGAAUCAUAUAGUAGAUAUGAUCAACAUAGUGAUGUUCACCAUUGAAAACUACUCCAUCUCACAUGAUGAUCGGACAUGGUUUAGUUGAUAUGAUUCACGUGAUCAUUUAGAUGACUAGAGGGAUGUCUAUCUAAGUGAGAGUUCUUAAGUAAUAUGAUUAAUUGAACUUUAAUUUAUCAUGAACUUAGUACCUGGUAGUUUUUGCAUGUCUAUGUUGUUGUAGAUCAAUGGCCCGUGCUACCGUUCCCUUGAAUUUUAAUGCGUUCCUAGAGAAAGCUAAGUUGAAAGAUGAUGGUAGCAACUACACGGACUGGGUCCAUAACUUGAGGAUUAUCCUCAUUGCUGCACAGAAGAAUUGUGUCCUGGAAGCACCGCUAGGUGCAAGACCCGCUGCAGGAGCAACUCCGGACGUUAUGAACGUCUGGCAGAGCAAAGCUGAUGACUACUCGAUAGUUCAGUGUGCCAUGCUUUACGUCUUAGAAUCGGGACUUCAAAGACGUUUUGAACGUCAUGGAGCAUAUGGGAUGUUCCAGGAGUUGAAGUUAAUAUUUCAAGCAAAUGCCCGAAUUGAGAGAUAUGAAGUCUCCAAUAAGUUCUAUAGCUGCAAAAUGGAGGAGAAUAGUUCUGUCAGUGAACAUAUACUCAGAAUGUCUGGGUACCACAACCACUUGACUCAACUGGGAGUUAAUCUUCCUGAUGAUAGUGUCAUUGACAGAGUUCUUCAAUCACUGCCACCAAGCUAUAAAAGCUUCGUGAUGAACUAUAAUAUGCAAGGAAUGGAUAAGACAAUUCCUGAGCUCUUCGCGAUGCUAAAGGCUGCGGAGGUAGAAAUCAAGAAGGAGCAUCAAGUGUUUAUGGUUAACAAGACCACUAGUUUCAAGAAAAAGGGCAAAGGGAAGAAGGGGAACUUCAAGAAGAACGGCAAGAAAGUUGCUGCUCAAGUGAAGAAACCCAAGUCUGGACCUAAGCCUGAAACUGAGUGCUUCUACUGCAAGGGGACUGGUCACUAGAAGCAGAACUGCCCCAAGUAUUUGGCGGAUAAGGAGGAUGGCAAAGUGAAAUGUAUAUUUGAUAUACAUGUUAUUGAUGUGUACCUUACUAAUGCUCGUAGUAGUGCCUGGGUAUUUGAUACUGGUUCUGUUGCUCUUAUUUGCAACUCGAGACAGGGGCUACGGAUUAAACGAAGAUUGGCUAAGGACGAGGUGACGAUGCGCGUGGGAAAUGGUUCCAUAGUCAAUGUGAUCGCCGUCGGCACGCUACCUCUACAUCUACUGUCGGGAUUAGUUUUAGACCUGAAUAAUUGUUAUUUGGUGCCAGCGUUGAGCAUGAACAUUAUAUCUGGAUCUUAUUUGAUGCGAUACGGUUAUUCAUUUAAAUCGGUGAAUAAUGGUUGUUCUAUUUAUAUGAGUAAUAUCUUUUAUGGUCAUGCACCCUUGAUGAGUGGCCUAUUUUUGUUGAAUCUUGAUUGUAGUAAUACACAUAUUCAUAAUAUUGAAGCCAAAAGAUGCAAGGUUAAUAAUGAUAGUGCAACUUAUUUAUGGCACUGCCGUUUAGGUCAUAUUGGUGUAAAGCGCAUGAAGAAAAUCCAUGCUGAUGGGCUUUUGGAAUCACUUGAUUAUGAAUCACUUGAUGCUUGCGAACCAUGCCUCAUGGGCAAGAUCACUAAGACUCCGUUCUCCAGAACAAUGGAGCGAGCAACUGACUUGUUGGAAAUAAUACAUACUGAUGUAUGCGGUCCGAUGAGUGUUGAGGCUCGCGGCCGGUAUCGUUAUUUUCUGACCUUCAUAGAUGAUUUGAGCAGAUAUAGGUAUAUCUACUUAAUGAAACAUAAGUCUGGAACAUUUGAAAAGUUCAAAGAAUUUCAUAGUGAAGUGGAAAAUCAUCGUAACAAGAAAAUAAAAUUUCUACGAUCUAAUCGUGGAGGUGAAUAUUUGAGUUAUGAGUUUGGUCUUCAUUUGAAACAAGGCGGAAUAGUUUCGCAAUUCAUGCCACCUGGAACACCACAGCGUAAUGGUGUGUCCGAACAUCGUAACCGUACUUUAUUAGAUAUGGUGCAAUCUAUGAUAUCUCUUACCGAGUUACCACUAUCGUUUUGGGGUUAUGCUUUAGAGACGGCUGCAUUCACGUUAAAUAGGGCACCAUCUAAAUCCGUUGAGACGACACCAUAUGAAUUGUGGUUUGGCAAGAAACCUAAGCUGUCGUUUAUUAAAGUUUGGGGCUGCGAUGCUUAUGUGAAAAAGCUUCAACCUGAUAAGCUCGAACCCGAAUCGGAGAAAUGUGUCUUCAUAGGAUACCCAAAGGAGACUAUUGGGUACACCUUCUAUCAUAGAUCCGAAGGCAAGAUAUUCGUUGCUAAGAAUGGAUCCUUUCUAGAGAAGGAGUUUCUCUCGAAAGAAGUGAGUGGGAGGAAAGUAGAACUUGAUGAGGUAAUUGUACCUUCUCCCGAAUUGGAAAGUAGUUCAUCACAGAAAUCAGUUCCAGUAAUUCCUACACCAAUCAGUGAGGAAGCUAAUGAUAAUGAUCAUGAAACUUCAGAUCAAGUUACUAACAAACCUCGUAGGUCAACCAGAGUAUGAUCCGCACCAGAGUGGUACGAUAAUGUUGUUCUGGAGAUCAUGUUACUUGACCAUGAUGAACAUACAAACUAUGAGGAAGCGAUGAUGAGCCAAAUUCCGCAAAAUGGCUUGAGGCCAUGAAAUCUGAGAUGGAAUCCAUGUAUGAGAACAAAGUGGACUUUGGUUGACUUGCCCGACGAUCGGCAAGCCAUAGAGAAUAAAUGGAUCUUCAAGAAGAAGACUGACGUUGACGCUAAUGUUACUGUCUACAAAGCUCGACUUGUUGUGAAAGGUUUUCGACAAGUUCAAGGAGUUGACUACGAUGAGACCUUCUCACCCAUAGCGAUACUUAAGUCUGUCCGAAUCAUGUUAGUAAUUGCCGCAUUUUAUGAUUAUGAAAUUUGGCAAAUGGAUGUCAAAACUGCAUUCCUUAAUGGAUAUCUUAAAGAAGAGUUGUAUAUGAUGCAACCAGAAGGUUUUGUCGAUCCUAAAGGUGCUAACAAAGUGUGCAUGCUCCAGCGAUCCAUUUAUGGACUGGUGCAAGCCUCUCGGAGUUGGAAUAUACGCUUUGAUAGUGUGAUCAAAGCAUACGGUUUUAUACAUACUUUUGGAGAAGCCUGUAUUUACAAGAAAGUGAGUGGGAGCUCUGUAGCAUUUCUAAUAUUAUAUGUGGAUGACAUACUGUUGAUUGGAAAUAAUACAAAAAAUUUAGAUAUCAUAAAAGGAUACUUGAAUAAGAAUUUUUCAAUGAAAGACCUCGGUGAAGCUGCUUAUAUAUUGGGCAUCAAGAUCUAUGGAGAUAGAACAAGACGCUUAAUUGGAAUUUCACAAAGCACAUACCUUGAUAAAGUUUUGAAGAAGUUCAAAAUGGAUCAGUCAAAGAAAGGGUUCUUUCAUGUGUUACAAGGUGUGAAGUUGAGUUAGACUCAAUGGCCGACCACUCAGAAGAUAGAGAGAAAAUGAAAGUCAUUCCAUAUGCCUCAGCCAUAGGUUCUAUCAUGUAUGCAAUGCUGUGUACCAGUCCUGAUGUGUGCCUUGCUAUAAGUUUAGCAGGGAGGUACCAAAGUAAUCCAGGAGUGGAUCACUGGACAGCGGUAAAGAACAUCCUGAGAUACCUGAAAAGGACUAAGGAUAUGUUUCUCGUUUAUGGAGGUGACAAAGAGCUUGUCGUAAAUGGUUACGUCGAUGCAAGCUUUGACACUGAUCCAGAUGACUCUAAGUCACAAACCGGAUACGUAUUUAUAUUGAAUGGUGGAGCUGUCAGUUGGUGCAGUUCCAAGCAGAGCGUCGUGGCGGGAUCUACGUGUGAAGCGGAGUACAUAGCUGCUUCGGAAGCAGCAAAUGAAGGAGUUUGGAUGAAGGAGUUCAUAUCCGAUCUAGGUGUAAUACCUAGUGCAUUGGGUUCAAUGAAAAUCUUUUGUGGCAAUACUGGAGCAAUUGCCUUGGCGAAGGAAUCCAGAUUUCACAAGAGAACCAAACACAUCAAAAGACGCUUCAAUUCCAUCCGCGAUCAAGUCAAGGAGGGAGACAUAGAGAUUUACAAAAUACAUACGGAUCUAAAUGUUGCAGACCCGUUGACUAAGCCUCUUCCACGAGCAAAACAUGAUCAGCACCAAGACUCCGUGGGUGUUAGAAACAUUACUAUGUAAUCUAGAUUAUUGACUCUAGUGCAAGUGGGAGACUGGAGGAAAUAUGCCCUAGAGGCAAUAAUAAAGUUGUUAUUUAUAUUCCCUUAUACCAUGAUAAAUGUUUAUUAUUCAUGCUAGAAUUGUAUUAACCGGAAACUUAGUACAUGUGUGAAUACAUAGACAAACUGAGUGUCCCUAGUAUGCCUCUACUUGACUAGAUCGUUAAUCAAAGAUGGUUAAGUUUCCUGACCAUAGACAUGUGUUGUCAUUUGAUCAAUGGGAUCACAUCAUUAGAGAAUGAUGUGAUGGACAAGACCCAUCCGUUAGCUUAGCAUAAUGAUCGUUUAGUUUUAUUCCUAUUGCUUUCUUCAUGACUUAUACAUAUUCCUCUGACUAUGAGAUUAUGCAACUCCCGGAUACCGGAGGAACACCUUGUGUGCUAUCAAACGUCACAACGUAACUGGGUGAUUAUAAAGAUGCUCUACAGGUGUCUCCGAAGGUGUUUGUUGGGUUGGCAUAGAAUCGAGAUUAGGAUUUGUCACUUCGUGUAUCGAAGAGGUAUCUCUGGGCCCUCUCGGUAAUGCACAUCACUAUAAGCCUUGCAAGCAAUGUGACUAAUGAGUUAGUUAUGGGAUGAUGCAUUACGGAAUGAGUAAAGAGACUUGCCGGUAACGAGAUUGAACUAGGUAUGAUGAUACCGACGAUCGAAUCUCAGGCAAGUAACGUACCGAUGACAAAGGGAAUGACGUAUGUUGUUAUGCAGUUUGACCGAUAAAGAUCUUCGUAGAAUAUGUAGGAGCCAAUAUGAGCAUCCAGGUUCCGCUAUUGGUUAUUAACCAUAGAUGUGUCUCGGUCAUGUCUACAUAGUUCUUGAACCCGUAGGGUCCGCAGGCUUAACGUUCGAUGACGACUUGUAUUAUGAGUUACGUGUUUUGGUGACCGAAGUUUGUUCGGAGUCCCGGAUGAGAUCACGGACAUGACGAGGAGUCUCGAAAUGGUCGAGAGGUAAAGAUUCAUAUAUUGGAAGGUAGUAUUCGGACAUCGGAAUGGUUCCGAGUGAUUCGGGUAUUUUUCCAGAGUACCGAGGGGUUACCGGAACCCCCCGAGGAAGUGUUGGGCCAACAUGGGCCUAAGGGAGAGAGAGGGAAGCCCGCGGGGGUGGCCGCGCGUCCCCCUCCUUGGGAGUCCGAAUAGGACAAGGAGGAGGGGGCGGCGCCCCCUUUCCCUCUCACUCUCCUUCCUAUUCCCUCCGGUGGAAGAAAGGAAAAGGGGGGGCGAAUCCUACUUGGACUAGGAGUCCAAGUAGGACUCCCCCCAUGGUGCGCCCCUCCUGGCCGCCGGCCUCUCUCCCCCCUCCUUUUUAUACGUGGCCAGGGGGCACCCCAAAGGCACAAUAGUUGUUUCUUAGCCGUGUGUGGUGCCCCCCUCCACAGUUUACCACCUCGAUCGUAUUGUCGUAGUGCUUAGGCGAAGCCCUGCGUGGAUCACAUCACCGACACCGUCGCCACGCCGUCGUGCUGACGGAACUCUCUCUCGACCCUCUACUGGAUCAAGAGCUCGAGGGACGUCAUCGAGCUGAACGUGUGCUGAACAUGGAGGUGUCGUACGUUCGGUACUUGGAUCGGUUGGAUCGUGAAGACGUUCGACUACAUCAACCGCGUUAACUAAACGCUUCCGCUUUCGGUCUACGAGGGUAAGUGGACACACUCUCCCGUCUCGUUGCUAUGCAUCUCCUAGAUAGAUAUUGCGUGAUCGUAGGAAAAAAUUUGAAUUACCGCGUUCCCCGACAUUAUGUUGCAGAGGUUUAUUCCGACCAGGAGUGAGGCUACGCUCUAUGCUCGGUGAUUGCCCUAUGGAAUCGGAUGGACUCGCUAUCGUCUACGUUUUCUACAGUAGUUUAUCUCAUGAGUUGGCCUUCGGCCAAAUAUAUUCUAUUGUAAUAAAGACUCUAUAUGAGAUUCGAUGUAAUAAAGCAUGUGUGAUUGCACUUUGAUAUAUACAUUUAUGUACUGUGUGUACCAGCAUGAUCUUGGGAUGGUACAGAUACACAGAGACUUAACCGUUUUCUGGUCGGGUUGCUACAUCCAUGCGCCGGCCUCCGCUUCUAGCUCCCCGAUGACCCCUCUCGUCCAGUGAUGGACCUCGGACGGCGGACGGUGGAGCUACUACCAGCUACACCAGGAGCUGCAAACAGCGAACAGAGGAGCUACAACCGGCCAGCCAGGAGGUACAACCAGAGGAUGGAGGAGCUAUGACCGACCAUGUUGGGAGCUGCAACCGGCGGACGGAGGAGCUACAAGCUGGGAACUACGAUCGAUGAACACACGUGCUAGAACCAACACAUAGGGGUGUUGCCACCGAUGCACGACUAUGUUGUAGCCAGGCAUCCCCGGUGCUGGAACCAGCGCGCCCCGUGCUGGAACCAGCGCGCCCCGUGCUGGAAUCGGUGCGUGGCCCCGUGCUGGAACCAUGACAUGGGAAUGCUGGAUCUAGCCAUCUCUGAUGCUGGAACAAACCAUCCCGGUACUAGAACCAGCGCGCCCCGUGCUGGAAUCGGUGUGCGACCCCGUGCUGGAACCAUGCUAUGGGAAUGCUGAAUCCAGCCAUCUCCGAUGGAACCAACCAUCAUCGGUGCUGGAACCAGUCGAUGACCGGAUGGUGCUACCACGACGACAUGCUACAUCGGCGGCUUACUGCGAAAGCUUAAAUCAGCGGCCCGUUUUGCUGGGACCGGCACCCCAAUUUGCUACGUGGGGCAGAGCAAUGGCUGGCGACGACGACGCUACCAUGCCUGAACGACGUUGCUGAAAAUGUUUCUACCGUGACCUGUUUUUGUUGUAAUUGACGCGGAAUUUGUUACCCGCGGCGUCGGCGAGCAUCGACAGCAAGGCAUCGACCGUCAACGACAAGGCAAGCCAGGGUAGGGCAAUUAGGCGAGCUGUUGGCCGGCGUCUGCAUGUGGCAGGGCAUCCGUCAUGGAUUUUUUUUUGGAGAACGGAGUGAAAGUGGUGUGAAGGUGGGAAAGGAUAAGUGGGGAGAAGCGGCUAGUAUUUCACAAAUCGAACGCUUGGUCCGACCGGCUAAAAAUUCAGCCGGUCGACCGAUGCCUAUCACUCACCUAGAGAGAUCCGACUCAGAAAAAAAUCCGACUCGGAAAAAAGAGAUAAGAGAGGUGUAGUAGUGGUUACCUUUUCCGGAAAAUGCUCCGACACAUACAUUCUCAAGAUCACUGCGUGCUUGUCGAAAGGUAACUUUCCAGACACACAAACCCAACGUCCCUUGAAAAAGACCAAACAUCCACUGAUAUCAGCUUGACGCACGCAAAUCUGCCCAUUUAAAGACAGUCAAGUCAAAAUCACUAAACCUAUUCAUGUUUUUGCCUAACUAAGCAAUGCCCAAAAACUAAAGACCCCUGAACCUGUUCAUGCUUUUGCCUAACUAAGCAAUUCCCACACCUCGUCACAUGCAGUACUGUCAAACCUAUUUAUUGCCACCCAUAUCCAUUUCUCACCUCCCACACCUUGCAGCAUUCACUCACUCACUCAACUCUCCCUCUCUCUCUCUCUCUCAAGAGCACAGGCAACAACAUGCACCCGGGCACCUCCGUAGCUGCGGUGGUCUGUGCGGCUUCUGUGCUGCUCAUCAGCAAUGGCUGCCUCUCCAUGGCCAUGGUGGAGGACAAGAUCACGGCGCUGCCGGGGCAGCCACCGGUGAGCUUCGCGCAGUACUCCGGAUACGUGGAGGUGGACGCCGUGAGGAAGAGGUCGCUCUUCUACUACUUCGCCGAGGCAGAGCUAGAUCCGGCCACCAAGCCCCUCGUCCUCUGGCUAAACGGAGGUAAAUUUAGUGGCUGCCACAAGCUUCCCACUGUUUCAUCUUAUUGCAUUAUUGGUAUUGGGGAGAUCGCAGGAGAAGGAACAGUGUGAAAAGGCCAGAGCCAGAGGGGAAAGGAAAUUAACAAAUGUUGAGAGAGAGAGAGAGAGAGAGAGAGAGAGUAGAUUUUCUGUGCAAAUGCGCCUACAGCAGACUUUUACUUGGAUCAUACAUUAAAAAGAUACUUUUCCUAAUUGGAUUCUUGAUAGAAGAUAUACGAAGUGUCCCAACUGUUGAUGGAACGGGACUUUUUACCUUUAAAUUUUGAUGUCCUUGCAGUAGAAUGUGUUUUUGUUUUGUUAGAACUGACUGCAUAACCUCGUGAAAUGGUAUUAAUGUUGGGGGCGGUGGAUCUCACCUGAUUUAUCACUACCAAGAUUCCUUUGUCUCUCUAUGAUAGGAUAGGAGUUCUGAUGAUGUUUAUGCAUGUGUGCUUGUGUAGGACCCGGAUGUUCAUCUGUGGGGGUGGGAGCAUUCUCAGAGAAUGGGCCAUUCAGGCCCAGUGGCAAUGCCCUUAUGAGCAAUGAGUAUAGCUGGAACAAAGGUGGACAUUUUGUCUCUUGUAAAAGUUGCAUCCACAAAAGCAACCUCUGGGUGCCUUUGAUUGGUCCUCUUUUUGUUGGUCCUCUUUUCCUUGGUGCAAGAAAAAAGAAAGCUCACAGGAAUUUUUACCACAACUGAAUUUCUCUUGGUAUCUGUUGGCUUGUUUCAGAGGCCAACAUGCUCUAUCUGGAGAGCCCUGCAGGGGUGGGCUUCUCCUACUCCACUGAUCCUUCCUUCUAUGGGGGUGUUGGUGACAGCAUGACAGGUGUGAUCUCCAUGCUUGAAAAGUUUUGUAAUCCGUAUCAGUAUUAUUUUCUGUGUAGAUUAAUCUGCAAGAUUAUUCUUUUUUGAGGGGUUUAAAAUGUUUCCCCUAAAAUUUUGAAGCCAGGGAUAAUUUAAGGUUCUUGGAAGGCUGGUUUGCCAAGUUCCCACAGUACAAGGGCAGGGACUUGUACAUCGCAGGAGAGAGUUAUGCUGGUAAAGCCAUUCUGCUUGUUCACGUCCUUGUUCAAUUUUGAAUUCAUCCCUUGGUGUUCUAACUACAAUGAUGAUCACUUUUAAGGUCACUAUGUUCCGCAACUAGCGCAGCGCAUGGUUGAAUUUGACGACAAGGAGAAGCUGUUCAAUCUGAAAGGCAUUGCUGUAAGUAUCCCAUUUACAAAGCUUACCAAAAAUAUGAAUUUGCAGAGCGUGUAUGUUUACAGAAGCCUCGUCAAUUUAUAGUGUGCCUGCUCUCUUUUUCCCUCGUUGAUCCAAUAGUUGGGCAAUCCUGUUCUCGAAUUCUCAACUGACUUCAACUCAAGAGCCGAGUUCUUCUGGUCACACGGGCUGAUAUCGGACUCAACCUACAACAUCUUCACGACGGUUUGCAACUACUCACGGUAUGUGAGCGAGUAUUACCACGGCUCCAUCAGCUCGGUUUGCGACAGGGUGAUGAGCCAAGUGACCAAAGAGACGAGCAGAUUCGUGGACAAGUACGAUGUCACCCUGGACGUCUGCAUUUCUUCGGUGUUGAUGCAGUCCCAAGUGCUCACCCCAAGCCCAAAUGUAUCGUUCUUCAGCAUUACCUCUGCUAAGGAGAUGUAUGUAACCUUGUCACUGACGGACAACUUUUUGCAGUCUACCGAGCAAUUGAACAGGGCGCUCGACGUGUGCGUCGAGGACGAGACGAUGAACUACCUCAACCGAAAAGAUGUGCAAAAGGCAAUGCACGCUCAGCUCAACGGCGUGCCCAAGUGGACGGUCUGCAGCAGGUAUGGAUUUGCCUAUCUGUUAGAGUGUCUAUCUGUAUCCGCUAGGGGUAUUACAGCUGCAUUUCCUUCAGAAAGGUUGCGAUUUCACCGAGUGUUUUGCCCAAUCCAGUGUUCUUGAGUACAAACAGCUGGACCUGCAGAUCCCGACCAUCAACAUCGUCGGCGCGCUCGUCAAGUCCGGCAUCCCGGUGCUAGUUUACAGGUAAAGAACCGCAUACAGUUGUACUGUACGUAUCAAUGAAAAACUCGCCACAGCAAGGGUGUCAGUUUAGAACGUGGCCUGAUGGCUGUGCUCGUGGGUGUUUCUCCGCACCGCAGCGGUGAUCAGGACUCGGUGAUCCCCCUGACGGGCAGCAGGACGCUGGUGCACCGCCUGGCCAAGAGGCUCCGGCUGAACGCAACGGUGCCGUACCGGGUCUGGUUCCAAGGGAAGCAGGUGAGCUCCGGUCCAUCUCCAUCCUACAAUAUUGGCCAUCGUUAUCGUCGCUCACUCCACUCCUGUCAAGCUCAAGCCAUGGUGGGUGGUGAAGCUGAAACUGAAGCGUUCUUCUCGUCUCAUCUUCUCCCGGACGUGCAGGUUGGUGGAUGGACGCAGGUGUUCGGCGACGCGCUGUCCUUCGCGACCAUCCGGGGCGCGUCGCACGAGGCGCCCUUCUCGCAGCCGGAGAGGUCCCUCGUGCUCUUCAGGGCGUUCCUCGCCAGCCGGCCGCUGCCGGAAUCGUUCGAGUGACCUCAACUCAAGAGACAGCUCGUGUUCUUGUACUACUAUCUACUCCCUCCGUUCCUAAAUAUAUCUCUUUGUAGAGAUUCCACUAAAUGGACUACAUACGGAGCAAAAUGAAUGAAUCUACACUUAAAAUGCAUCUAUAUACAUCCGUACGUGGUUUAUAGUGGAAUCUCUAUAAAGACUUAUAUUUAGGAACGGAGGGAGUAGUAUAGUAGCUAGAGUGCAUUGCGUCAAUCACCUUUCAAGGUUGGAAAUCCAAUCAAAAAGGUCUUCACAAGUGUAAUCAGUUACUCCCUUGUUUCACUAUUAUAAGAUGUUUUGAAUAUUUUAAUAUACACUGAAUACAGACUGAAAUGAGUGAACGAACACACUAAAACACGUCAACAUACAUUUGAUUUAGAAAAUAAUAAUUAAUCAUACAUCUCAUAAUAGUGAAUGGAGAGAAUAUAUCGCAAGGCGUGGAGGUGCACUGGAAAUGUAUGGGAAUUUCGAAAAUUUACUGAGCUGUUACCUUUGGUCUGUCAUACUGGGAAAAAGGUACUCCCGCUGUCCAGAAUUAAUACAUCCGUAUCUAGGCAAAUCUAAGUCAAGUAAUUUAGGAUAAAAGUAAUAUAUGAUAAUGAAAUUGUACCAUGCAACUAAAAUUUACUAGGAGCUGUGUACAAUCAAAUGCGUACUUGUAGAUUCACGUUGCCACAAAACAUAUGCAGGGCGUGACUGUCACUAAGAUUAUCUGUGUUUUGUUUGGCAAACUAAGAUUAUCUGCAUGGCACUCUUUUAUCCAAAACAUGUUAUGUCAUUCACAUUUGGACUAGAAAAUUUAUAGUAAUUCUUGCUUAAUAUAAAACCUCCUCUAGAUCAGAUGACAUAUACGGACUACGAUGCCCCGACGUGCUGCUCUGCUCCACCAUCUCCCCCACCGCCUGCACCCGACGAUGAUGUAACCCCGUUUGACGUGCCUUUGCAGCCCGUCCACAUGGAGCAGGCCUAGCUGCUAUGCUCUUCUGCGUGUGUUGGGUCUCUUUGGUGAGAGCGGAGGUCGUUUUUGGCAAACUUCCGGUUCCACCUAUUGUGUCUCCGCUGCCUGAGGUCCAAGUUGAUUCCACGGAUGGGGGAAAGCAGGCCUCUAUGGAUGCUUCUUCCCUCGUGCUAGACCUUGAUCGGCACCAUAGCUCAUUGUGUCGCAUGCCUUUCGGAGAGAGGGCAUCGUCGAAAUCAUGGCUCGUGUGUUGCAGAUCAUGUCCGAGUUGCAUGGGAUAUGUGGGGGAGCCCACUUUGUAUCCGGUGCUUCCGGAGGUGGGCUCACUUGUGGCCUUGGUGGUGGCCACGACACCCUCUCGACCACCGUCAGACCUUAGAUCCAGCUAGCCAGCUUGCCUUCAUGGAUUAUGGAGGUUUGGAUGCUACUGCCUUUCACUCUCCCGUGAACGUCGGGCAAGUGGUGCAUGCGAGUGAUGAGAUUAUCGUGUGCGUUGGCACCUAAUUUUGAGGUUCCAGUUCGUGGACAUGGCAGGACAUGUCUGUGGACCUUUUCAAUAGUAGUUUAUUCCAUUUGGUGAUUAGCGUUCAAGAUGCCCUCAAAUAUCGACAUGCUAAGAGAUGCGCUACAGUACUAGUAAUGAGCUCAUGUAGUCAUAUUACUUCAUUCGAAAAAUAAAAGUACUCAUAGUAAUAUUUAUUUUACCCUUUACCAUGAAAUUGGCAACGAGUUCAUAUUACUUCAUUCUCAAAAGAAGCGUGCUGCAUGUACCAUCAAGCUCUCAGUUUGCUGAUCUCUUCACUAAAGGGCUGCCAUCACAGGUGUACCAUGAGUUCCGAUCCAGGGGGUUAGACAGUUUUUCUAUAUAGUCAUGUACACAUGUGUAUAGCCUACAAUGUAGGAUUCGUAACCGCACGCCCUGGCCUGCGUGCCGACUCUCAAGGGCUCUCUCCUGUAUAUGUUAUAACCUUGUAACCGACCCAAGGCAUUCAAUCAAGAGUUAAUCUCUCCAACUUUAGCAACGAGCACAUAUUACUUCAUUCGCAAAAAAAAAUCAUAGUAAUAUUUUACCCUUUGCCAUGAAAUUGGCAACGAGUUCAUAUUACUUCAUUCUCAAAAGAAGAAGAAAAACUCGUGAUAUUACUUUACCCUUUACCAUGAAAUUAUAAUUACAUCUGACAUGAACAAGCGACACAAAAUCGUACACUCGUAGAUUUACUAUUACGUGGCUGGAUGUAGAAUCAAUCCUUGGAGAGCCUAUUCUGCGACUGCGAUGGUAUCUUAUAGGCCGCGUAGUGUCUGGGUGGCUGGCCGGCUGGCUAGGGUGGAGAUCGUCAAGAUGGGUCGGCAUCAUCACAUGAUGGCGCAGGAGUUGACGUCCUCGUCGUUGAACAUGUUCAUGUACCGGACCUCCGGCGCCCCGGGGUCGGCCAUGGCCUGCGGCGCGCCGCGGACGAAGCCCGCCGGCGCCUUCUUGUCGUAGGCGCCGCCGACAUAGGGGUAGGUGGUGAGCGAGUACGGCACGUAGGGCCACAUCUCGGCCACCUUCCCGGUGCUCUUCACCCGCGCCAGCACCUUGCUCGGCUCAACGAACCCCGUCACCGUCACCUUGCUCAUCUUGGGGUUCACUGACACGGCCGUCACACCUUUGCCAUCAACAUAUACAGGAGAUGAGACGUUCAGCAGCAGAGUUUAACUUCACAAAACUAUUCCCAACGAAAACUUUAGAUUGCUUGAUUUUAUUUCAUUUCUGGAUAUCGCUACGUAUGUAGGAGUAUGUAUGUGUGUACCCCGAAUCGACUUGACGGCGUUCUUGACCCUCCUCUCGCAGCCCUCGCAGUCCAUCUUCACCUUGAUGUUUACCGUCUGCGGAUCACAAACUACUCGAGUUAAUCACGUGUUUAUAUAUAACUUAAACGAAAUGGCAAACAAAAAAUUAUAUCGGUCAUCUCAUGAGAUGAGAAGUUGAAACUGUUUCCAAGCAAAACAAGAGAGCACAGGCGUACUAAAAAAAAGAAUUCCACAAGCCUCACCUGCAUCGGCCGCCUCUUCCUGAGCUUGAGGGCUGCCUUUGUGUCUGUCAUGCUGCACAAAUCGGAGAGGUGAUCCAAGACGCCCAUGAUCUUAUUGAUCUGACACGACUGAAGCAGUAGUGUUCUCGGGUACAGAACCGUGAAGGGUCGUAUAUGUAGAGAGGAAAGAGGAACGAAGAGAAAAUAUCAGAGGAUAAAUUUCGCUUGCUGGCUAAAUUUGUAUGGUUAGGGUGGACGUGCAAGUCCAUACUGAUGCUUCUAGGCGACAGAGAGCGAGCGAUUAAACCACGGCGCUUUCGGAUUGAUGAGCAAACACCCCUGCUUCCAGGAUGACCAUUCCCUGCUUCACAGGCCAGCUGUUUUGACAGGAAGCUGCUUCAUAAUUAUCUCUUGCUUUUCGUUUCACGGAGAUGAUUUAUUUUGGUAGACUGGGAAAUGCACGGCCUCAAUUAGCUCUCUAGUCGCUACCUAAAAUACAGUACGUACAAAGCAAGUAACUGCAGGUAGAUGAAUCCUUCAACUGUUCUUCAGAAACAGAGCAACUACUCUCUCAAAAAGAAAAAAGAAAACUCAAAAGAUAUACUGGCAUACAGCUUGCUCGUACAUGCAUCUAUGUUUGUUUCGUUUACAAUAACAAUUUCUAGUGCCUCACUUCAAACUUCGAACUUCAAGAGAGUGAAAGAAGAGAGACAAAAAAGGAAGAGGAGAACACAUAACUGAAAGGGCAGUGAUAUUAAUCUAGGUACCAUCACCAGGACCCCAAGCUGAGAUAACGAAAUAAAAAGAUGGUAUACCCAACUAG
rnacentral:lncRNA from 1 species